GGUCGGACCGGACCGGACUGGACCGGACCGCCGCGGGGACCCGGCCCGGGUCGGAGACAGCGCGGCAGGACCUCUGGGGUGGAAGAUAGGAAGUGCUGCUCCUCAGGCAGCCCAGGGAGCUGCUAACCGGAAGUCCCGCCUGGGAGGAAGCCCUGGUGGCCACAGGUGCAGAUGCAGCAGGACUGAGUGUGGCAGCACAGGGGAUGCCUGCCUCCGCCAUCUCUGCAGCCCCUGAGCUGCAUGGCUUCCCUG
rnacentral:lncRNA from 1 species